UUCUGGUACAACGCGCCUGGCCCGCUUUUAGUGAGUGCCGGUGCGCGUUUGCCAUCCUUCUAGAAAACGUUUCUACCUGGGCAACCGGGCCGGACUCGCGAUCUAGAUCUUUUACUUUGAAAAAAUUAGAGUGUUUAAAGCAGGCUUUUGCUGUGAAUACAUUAGCAUGGAAUAAUAAUCUAGGACUUCGGUUCUAUUUUGUUGGUUUCUAGUACUGAAGUAAUGAUUGAUAGGGAUAGUUGGGGGUGCUAGUAUUGGCCGGCCAGAGGUGGAAUUCUUGGAUUCGGUCAAGACUAACUUAUGCGAAAGCAUUCACCAAGGAUGUCUUCUUUAAUCAAGAACGAAAGUUGGGGGAUCGAAGACGAUCAGAUACCGUCGUAGUCUCAACCAUAAACUAUGCCAACUAGGGAUGGGUGAACGUUGUUUUUUUGACUUCAUCUGCACCUUAUGAGAAAUCAAAGUCUUUGGGUUCCGGGGGGAGUAUGGUCGCAAGGCUGAAACUUAAAGGAAUUGACGGAAGGGCACCACCAGGAGUGGAGCCUGCGGCUUAAUUUGACUCAACACGGGAAAACUUACCAGGUCCGGACAUAGUGAGGAUUGACAGAUUGAAGAUCUUUCUUUGAUCUAUGGG
rnacentral:rRNA from 1 species